CCUGCCCAUAGAAGCACUGAAGCUGUGGCUUCAAUGUUACAUGUGCAUCAGUGGUGACAGAGAGGAGACAGGCUAUGUCUACUCUCAGCCUUCUGAUCUAUGAACAUCUGAAUGAAUAAUAGCCUAACACU